rnacentral:rRNA from 1 species
UACGUAGGGGGCAAGCGUUGUCCGGAUUUAUUGGGCGUAAAGAGCGUGUAGGCGGCCUGACAGGUCUGCUGUGAAAACUCGAGGCUCAACCUCGAGAUGUCGGCGGAAACCGUCUGGCUAGAGUCCGGAAGAGGAGAGUGGAAUUCCGUGGUGUAGCGGUGAAUGCGCAGAGUAAUCAGGAAGAACACCUAUGGCGAAGGCAGCUCUCUGGGACGGUACUGACGCUGAGACGCGAAAGCGUGGGGAGCGAACAGG